rfam:Salmo salar isolate Sally breed double haploid chromosome ssa15, whole genome shotgun sequence.
UGCAUUCACUACUGUAAGUCGCUCUGGAUAAGGGUGUCUGCUAAAUGGCGUAAA